AAAGCCCUGGGCUCAACCUGGGAACUGCAGUGGAUACUGGGCGACUAGAGUGUGGUAGAGGGUAGCGGAAUUCCUGGUGUAGCAGUGAAAUGCGUAGAGAUCAGGAGGAACAUCCAUGGCGAAGGCAGCUACCUGGACCAACACUGACACUGAGGCACGAAAGCGUGGGGAGCAAACAGGAUUAGAUACCCUGGUAGUCCACGCCCUAAACGAUGCGAACUGGAUGUUGGGUGCAAUUUGGCACGCAGUAUCGAAGCUAACGCGUUAAGUUCGCCGCCUGGGGAGUACGGUCGCAAGACUGAAACUCAAAGGAAUUGACGGGGGCCCGCACAGCGUGGAGUAUGUGGUUUAAUUCGUGCAACGCGAAGAACCUU
rnacentral:rRNA from 1 species